CAGUAGCCACGGGAAUACGGAGGGUGCAAGCGUUAAUCGGAAUUACUGGGCGUAAAGCGCACGCAGGCGGUCUGUCAAGUCGGAUGUGAAAUCCCCGGGCUCAACCUGGGAACUGCAUUCGAAACUGGCAGGCUAGAGUCUUGUAGAGGGGGGUAGAAUUCCAGGUGUAGCGGUGAAAUGCGUAGAGAUCUGGAGGAAUACCGGUGGCGAAGGCGGCCCCCUGGACAAAGACUGACGCUCAGGUGCGAAAGCGUGGGGAGCAAACAGGAUUAGAUACCCCUGUAGUUCCUGUCUCUUAUAC
rnacentral:rRNA from 1 species